rnacentral:rRNA from 1 species
AUUGAACGCUGGCGGCAGGCUUAACACAUGCAAGUCGAGCGGGGAAAGGUAGCUUGCUACAUUACCUAGCGGCGGACGGGUGAGUAAUGCUUAGGAAUCUGCCUAUUAGUGGGGGACAACAUCUCGAAAGGGAUGCUAAUACCGCAUACGUCCUACGGGAGAAAGCAGGGGACCUUCGGGCCUUGCGCUAAUAGAUGAGCCUAAGUCGGAUUAGCUAGUUGGUGGGGUAAAGGCCUACCAAGGCGACGAUCUGUAGCGGGUCUGAGAGGAUGAUCCGCCACACUGGGACUGAGACACGGCCCAGACUCCUACGGGAGGCAGCAGUGGGGAAUAUUGGACAAUGGGGGGAACCCUGAUCCAGCCAUGCCGCGUGUGUGAAGAAGGCCUUUUGGUUGUAAAGCACUUUAAGCGAGGAGGAGGCUACCGAGAUUAAUACUCUUGGAUAGUGG